CUCAUCUAUAUGUUGUUAAAAUGAUGAUGUGUCGUUGUUGGUAGGACUUUUGUCAUAUUAGGUUUUACCUGAAACAGUUGAAUUUUACAGAAAUUUGCACACUGUUUCCUCUAGAAAAUACCAGUUUAGCUUUCCUUAUUUAUUUGUAGCUGGUUUAUUAGUCAAAAAGUGAAUCAAUUAUUAGCUGUUCGGUUUAAAAAUUCAAAACGACCUUUGGUUCUAGCUGCUCCAGUAUGAGUAACUUUCAUGUCACUUUAAGCAAGUAUUCUUGGGGUUUUUUUAAUUGUUUUUGAUCCAUUUUUAGAUGUUUGUUGCCUUGGCCAACAAUUCUAAAAUUGAAUUUAAUGACAAAUAGUGUAGCUGUUUAUACAUUUGCCUAACAAGCUAAAAAUCCCCAGGUCAAUCCCAGGAGGAGACACAAAUCCACAAAUCCGUUUGGGGGGGUCUGGAAGGGCAUGCAGUGUAAAAAUCUGCAUAUCAAAUAUGCAAAGCCAUCCACUGUGGUUCACCCCUUGUGAAUAAGGGAGCAGCCAAGAGUAGCUGUAUAUUUAAUGACAAAUAGUCCUGGAGUUUUUCAAACAUCACCAAACCAUAGCAGCCUUACAUGAUAGCACAAAUCUGAUUUAUGGAAAAUAUUUGCAAUCCCAGACCACGUCUGGGAAUUGGACAGCUGUUAAAGGGACCGUUCACCCCAAAAUUAAAUAUCCAUAUUUCUUUUAAAUCAGCUUAAAGUAUUGAAGCAUUACUAGACAAAAGACGAAAGGUUGAGCAGAUUCCUUCAUCAACCCCUGUCCUUUAACAUCAUCCACAGAGGGUAAGUUCUGUGCAGGUUCUGGAGGACAGCGUAGCUCCUGGCUCUGCUGGUGGAGGUGGAGGCCGUGAAAGGGACCCACUCCACCCUGAGAGGACCUGUGAAGGAGACAGUGGAAAAAAAGCUGCUAGAAGCUCUGACUCCUUGGUACCACAUAGUCACAGCACCCUACUCAGCAAACCCUAGAGUACCCACAACAAGGGGGCUAGGGUCACCAUGGAUCAUCAGAAGCUGUUGCCGGGUAGCGUGGCGGCCGUGACUCCACUGUCCUUCUGUCGAUCCUGCAAAGGCACGAGCGCGGACUCCUCUCACCUCCACCUUGGCACCGCAGAGUCACUGUCGCUCUGCAGGUCUGACCCUCUACCCCAGAAACUCCUGGCCCAUUUGGCAGAGAGCCGAGGGACAGAAUUGUGUCCUCUCAGCCCUUACAUGCUCCGUCUCUCUGGGGCAGGGUUCGCCUACUACGCUCCUGGGCCGGAAACCUCAGUGUGAACACAGAUGCAGACUCUGAAGCUUCUGCAUCUCAGAGAUCCGUGAAUUACACAACGCAGACAUGUUCAAACACAUCUGAAGCAUGGACACUCCAUGCUAAGUUCACCAUGUGCAUUUUUGGGCUACACCUGAGUGAAAAACCCUUUAGAUAGUAUUGCCCUUACUCCUAAUUCACAUACUUGUCUCAUUUUUUUUUUCUUUUUUUUUUUUGGUUUGAUUCAGCAAAUUCCCUGCUCAGACUCUUACUUGAAAAAGUUUAUGAGCAAAAGGAGAACCAUGUGCGAAAAUGCUUCUCGCACUGUGGAGCUGUGCCGUUUGAACUGUUGAACCUUUUUGUAUUUCCUCGUCUCAUUUUCAGUCUGACACUCUUGCCUGGUCCUCCACUUUUGCGUCCCCUUUUUUCGCUUCUUUGUAAAUGUUUGUCGGAAACAUUUAUGUACAUUUUGUGGUCUGGCCAAGUAAGGGGGAUAGCCUUCAAGCUCAGCCCUUUAGGUGUGCGUGCGUGUGCAUGAGCGUGAGUACGCAUGAAUUUUGCCUGUUUAUUGUAUGUUUGUAUGUGACACACCUUUGCCUUACAGGUAACAACACAGCAGCAGGCUAGGAGCCAAAGGAGAAAGGUGUUUAGAUUUAGAAAAACUGGAAAAAAAGAAGCAUAAGUGAUGUUUUUACAAAGCCUUACACACAACCAUCAGCUGAAGGAGAGAGGCGGGGGAAAUCUGAAGAGGGAUGUGCAGUAUUUUAGCCACCCUGCCUUAAUUCAUAGAUGCCCUUUUUUUCCCUUUUAAACUGAUUAUAUGUGGUCACUUUAAACACAUUUGUGAGAGUACAAGGAGGUUCAAAGAGCAUAGAUAUAAAUAUAUACAGUACAAUGAGUCUAUUAUUCCUCCUACUUUCUUUUACCCUCACAAUUGUGUCGAGCUUUGUUUCCCUUAUCUGUCAGCGUAGCAUGUCAGAUCUCUCUCUGCAUGCUGAUUUAUUCUUCUCUCAGUUGUUCCACAUCCCUCUUUGUCCCAGACAUCAUUCAUCACCAAACCUUUCAUGGCACUUGUGUUUUGUUUUUUUUCCUUUUCCCUGAACAGUUAGCAAAACUGCACCCUCUCCUGCCACCACGUGGUUGUGCAGGGUAACAGCAGCAGCCUGGGACUUGUUUGCGUGUUUGUUUGUGGAUGUCCUAAAUGACUUGCUACUCCUCCCUGUUGCAUUGUGCUCGUGUGUUUGCUGCUGUGCUCCGUGUUAUGCAAAAGUUAACGUAAGAAUGCUAAUGUUGUCACGUUAUAAGGGGCUGUCUCUGUGUCACAUAAUUCCAUGAGGCUUUUUUUUUUUUUUUCUUUUUUUGUACUGUUCGAAAAUUAUUGAUGUCAGUCACUAUUGAUGUGUGGAUGUAAAUUUAAAAAAACAAUAUUGAUCUAUAUUGUGGUGAGAAGGGGUGUUGGAUAGAUUUCAUUUCUUGUAAGAAGGUGGGAGACUUGAAUCGGCGAUGUCACAAUCAAAUCAAUGAGAAUGUUGAAGUGAUUUGUCCAUCACGUCCUCCAGCUGAAGAUUGUAGCUCAUUUUCGGUGAACCUCUUUUUCUGCAUUUCUAAAAAUCUGAAUUUUGUUGGGUUACAUAGCAAGUUACUGACUCUGGAAGUCAUGAAUGUGAGAUUUUCUUCUUCUUUUUUUUUUUUUAUACAUUUAUACGGUUUCAUACACAUCACCAUUUGCCAAUAUGUAUAAAAUCAUUAAUCUGGACUCUUCCUUUCAGUUUUCACUCCACAAGCCUCCACAGGUGUGGAGGGGCUCAACAUCCCGACCUCAGCGAUAAAAGGAACGUACUUGGUGCUUGUAACACAGUGUCCCACCUCACUGUGCCGUUGCCAUACCGUAUCGAGACAUAGUCUAAAUGUCAUAUUCUACAAUAAUAAUGUAACUUUUGUGAUAUGACGGGGAAGCAUUUGUUGUAAUUCAGACAUGUUUAGUAGCAAAUUCCUCCACAUUUCAAAUUUUCACCACUUAGUCAAUUUUUGUGUUGUCCAUUGUGUAUAUUUUUUUUGCUACUUUUGUAUCUCAGAGAGAAGACUAUAUUUUAACUCUAUGCUAGAGUAUGUGGUCGAGUUUGUAACCAAAACGAGAGGAAAAAACUAAGAUUCAUUAGAUUUACCAAUAGUUAUACACAGUGCACUUUGUUUUACAACAGAUCUGUUUGACCAUUCAAAACCAGGUCUUGUCUUGUCAGCUGGGGUUUAUGGUUCACUCUUCCUCACAAGUUAUUUUUCUAACAAGAUUGUAUUGGGUGAGAAGGGGAGGGGAAAAAAAGAAGUGACCAAAUAACUUGACUAGGAAUGAACUGUCUGUAUGUGUCAGCUCUGUCGCAAUGGAUUUAUCACACCAGCCUUCUACUGCUGAUCAGAAUGUCAAACUGCUUUUUUCUAAGUCCAUCAGCACAACAGCAGGUGCUCAUCUUGUCACUCCUGAGCUUGGCAAAGGUCUGAUAUGUCGACUUCUGUGCUCUGAGCAGCACACUUCAUAUCAUACCUUUUUAGUACGGCACUGUUUGUAUUACUAAACAGGUUUUGAGAAAUUACUUUUUUUCUGUUUUGGAUAAAAGAUUUUAAAAGUUCACCUGUUGACUUUUUGCCAGCCUGUCUGUAGCAAAUGAGGGCAAAGCACUGUAUUGUCAUUCUGCUUGUAAUAAAGAGUGAAAACACUU
ensembl:lncRNA